GGCGAACGGGUGAGUAACACGUGGGUGACCUGCCCUUCACUCUGGGAUAAGCCUGGGAAACUGGGUCUAAUACCGGAUAUUCACUUGCCUUCGCAUGGGGGUGGGUGGAAAGUUUUUUCGGUGGGGGAUGGGCCCGCGGCCUAUCAGCUUGUUGGUGGGGUGAUGGCCUACCAAGGCGACGACGGGUAGCCGGCCUGAGAGGGCGACCGGCCACACUGGGACUGAGACACGGCCCAGACUCCUACGGGAGGCAGCAGUGGGGAAUAUUGCGCAAUGGGCGGAAGCCUGACGCAGCGACGCCGCGUGGGGGAUGACGGCCUUCGGGUUGUAAACCUCUUUCGACAGGGACGAAGCGUGAGUGACGGUACCUGUAGAAGAAGCACCGGCCAACUACGUGCCAGCAGCCG
rnacentral:rRNA from 1 species